GUCUGAAUAGUUCAGUGGUAAGAGCAGUUACCUGGAAAGUGAAAGACUCAGGUUCAAUUCCCGAUUCAGUCA
rnacentral:tRNA from 1 species